rnacentral:rRNA from 1 species
GACGAACGCUGGCGGCGUGCCUAACACAUGCAAGUCGAACGAUGAAGCAGUGAAACGCGAACUUCGGUUCAAAUUUCACUCCGGAUUAGUGGCAGACCGGUGAGUAACGCGUUAGCAACCUACCUCUUACAAAGGGAUAGCCUCGGGAAACCGAGACGAAUACCAGAUGACACAUUCAUAAGUCCUCUCAAGACUGUUAAAGCUACGGCGGUAAUAGAUGGGCUCGCUUCCCAUUAGAUAGGUGGUGAGGUAACCGGCCACGAAAGCGACGAUGGGUAAACGGGCUGGGAGGGAGAACCGACACACUGGAGCUGGGACACGGUCCGAACUCUUGCGGGAGGCAGCAGUGGGGAAUAUUGCACAAUGGAGGGAACGCUGAUGCAGCGAGGCCGCGUGAGCGAUGAAGGAAUUAGAGUAGUAAAGCUCUGUUCUAUGGGGAGAAAAGGACUGUACCAUAAGAGAAAGCCCCGGCUAAAUACGUG